GGGCUCUCUAUGGCAGCACUUAUACUAAAAUUGCUAUGAUACAGAAAAGAUUAACAUGGCUCUUGCUCAAGGAUGACAUGCAUAUUUGUGAAGUACCCCAUAUUUAA
ensembl:snRNA U6 U6 spliceosomal RNA